AUGAUAGAACAGAAAAGGUUUGACAGUAUUGCUUACAGUUGGGGGGGUAAAAUAAAAACAAUCUCUCACUGCUCCUCUCACUGCUCCUGCUCCUCUCACUGCUCCGCUCACUGCUCCUCUCACUGCUCCUGCUCCUCUCACUGCUCCGCUCACUGCUCCUCUCACUGCUCCUGCUUCCCUCACUGCUCCGCUCACUUCUCCUCUCACUGCUCCUGCUCCUCUCACUGCUCCGCUCACUGCUCCUCUCACUGCUCCUGCUUCCCUCACUGCUCCGCUCACUGCUCCUCUCACUGCUCCUGCUUCCCUCACUGCUCCGCUCACUGCUCCUCUCACUGCUCCUGCUCCUCUCACUUCUCCUCUCACUGCUCCGCUCACUGCUCCUCUCACUGCUCCUGCUCCUCUCACUGCUCCUCUCACUGCUCCUCUCACUGCUCCUGCUUCCCUCACUGCUCCGCUCACUGCUCCUCUCACUGCUCCUGCUCCUCUCACUGCUCCUGCUCAUCUCACUGCUCCGCUCACUGCUCCUCUCACUGCUCCUGCUUCCCUCACUGCUCCGCUCACUGCUCCUCUCACUGCUCCUGCUCCUCUCACUGCUCCUGCUCAUCUCACUGCUCCGCUCACUGCUCCUCUCACUGCUCCUGCUUCCCUCACUGCUCCGCUCACUGCUCCUCUCACUGCUCCUGCUUCCCUCACUGCUCCGCUCACUGCUCCUCUCACUGCUCCUGCUCCUCUCACUUCUCCUCUCACUGCUCCGCUCACUGCUCCUCUCACUGCUCCUGCUCCUCUCACUGCUCCUCUCACUGCUCCUCUCACUGCUCCUGCUUCCCUCACUGCUCCGCUCACUGCUCCUCUCACUGCUCCUGCUUCCCUCACUGCUCCGCUCACUGCUCCUCUCACUGCUCCUGCUCCUCUCACUGCUCCUCUCACUGCUCCUCUCACUGCUCCUGCUCCUCUCACUGCUCCGCUCACUGCUCCUCUCACUGCUCCUGCUCCUCUCACUGCUCCGCUCACUGCUCCUCUCACUGCUCCUGCUCAUCUCACUGCUCCGCUCACUGCUCCUCUCACUGCUCCUGCUUCCCUCACUGCUCCGCUCACUGCUCCUCUCACUGCUCCUGCUCCUCUCACUGCUCCGCUCACUGCUCCUCUCACUGCUCCUGCUCCUCUCACUGCUCCUGCUCAUCUCACUGCUCCGCUCACUGCUCCUCUCACUGCUCCUGCUUCCCUCACUGCUCCGCUCACUGCUCCUCUCACUGCUCCUGCUCCUCUCACUUCUCCUCUCACUGCUCCUCUCACUGCUCCUGCUUCCCUCACUGCUCCGCUCACUGCUCCUCUCACUGCUCCUGCUCCUCUCACUGCUCCUCUCACUGCUCCUGCUCCUCUCACUUCUCCUCUCACUGCUCCUGCUCCUCUCACUUCUCCUCUCACUGCUCCGCUCACUGCUCCUCUCACUGCUCCUGCUCCUCUCACUUCUCCUCUCACUGCUCCGCUCACUGCUCCUCUCACUGCUCCUGCUCCUCUCACUUCUCCUCUCACUGCUCCUCUCACUGCUCCUGCUUCCCUCACUGCUCCGCUCACUGCUCCUCUCACUGCUCCUGCUCCUCUCACUUCUCCUCUCACUGCUCCUCUCACUGCUCCUGCUUCCCUCACUGCUCCGCUCACUGCUCCUCUCACUGCUCCUGCUCCUCUCACUUCUCCUCUCACUGCUCCUCUCACUGCUCCUCUCACUGCUCCUGCUCCUCUCACUUCUCCUCUCACUGCUCCUCUCACUGCUCCUCUCACUGCUCCUGCUUCCCUCACUGCUCCGCUCACUGCUCCUCUCACUGCUCCUGCUCCUCUCACUUCUCCUCUCACUGCUCCGCUCACUGCUCCGCUCACUGCUCCUGCUCCUCUCACUUCUCCUCUCACUUCUCCUCUCACUGCUCCUGCUCUUCUCCCUGGGCCCCUUGCUCUUACUCUUCCUCGUCCAUACGUUACAGUGUUUGUCUUUUUCUGUUUCUGUUUCCAAAAAUAUUACUCUUCAAAGUUCUCCUUUUAUUGUAUAAGUGUCAAUGUAAUAGAAAAAAAUAA
rnacentral:lncRNA from 1 species